GGAGGCGUAGAUACUCACACC
rnacentral:miRNA from 1 species